AGCUUCGGCCAUCCGGCGAGGGAUGGGCCCGCGGUGCAUUAGCUAGUUGGUGGGGUAACGGCCUACCAAGGCAACGAUGCGUAGCUGGUCUGAGAGGAUGAUCAGCCACACUGGGACUGAGACACGGCCCAGACUCCUACGGGAGGCAGCAGCCAGGAAUCUUGGGCAAUGGGCGAAAGCCUGACCCAGCAACACCGUGUGGGCGAUGAAGGCCUUCGGGUCGUAAAGCCCUGUUGAUAGGGACGAAGGGCGAAGGGUUAAUAGCCC
rnacentral:rRNA from 1 species